rnacentral:rRNA from 1 species
UACAGAGGUGGCAAGCGUUGUUCGGAAUUACUGGGCGUAAAGGGUUUGUAGGCGGCCUUGUAAGUCAGGUGUGAAAUCCCUCGGCUCAACCGAGGAAUAGCGCUUGAUACUGCAAGGCUUGAGGGAGACAGGGGUAAGCGGAACUGAUGGUGGAGCGGUGAAAUGCGUUGAUAUCAUCAGGAACACCGGUGGCGAAAGCGGCUACUGGGUCUCUUCUGACGCUGAGGAACGAAAGCUAGGGUAGCGAACGGG